rnacentral:rRNA from 1 species
AACGGAGGGGGCAAGCGUUAUUCACCCUGACUGGGCGUAAAAGGGUAUGUAGGUGGUUUUUUUUUUUAUGAAAUAAGUAAUCCAAGCACAACUUUUGAAGUUAUUUUUUAAAAUUUAAAACUUGAGGUAUUUAGAAGCAAGUUACAUUUUUGAAGUAGAGGUGAAAUUCAUAAAUAUCAAAAGAAUAGCCAACAUGGCGAAAGCUACUUGCUAAAUUUAUCCUGACACUAAGAUACGAAAGCAUGGGGAGCAAACAGG